CCCGCCGAAGAUAUACAAAUCCCUGAUAUAUUUACCGAAUAUAUCAGAAAGAUUGGAAAAGUCAGAAAUAUAUGACAAAAAUAAAUACACAAUAGCACAUAGCUCACAUAACACAACAAAAUCUUUAUUCACAAACAUGAAAAGUAAAAUACCAAAAAUGGACAAACAUAAUGUAGUUUACAAAAUUGAAUGUGGUGGUAACAAGGAAGAAAGUUGCGGAAAACACUACGUUGGCACAACAAAAAACAAACUAAAAACUAGGAUGUCAGCACACAAAUCAGACAUCAAAUUAAGAAACAAUAAUUCGAUACAAAAAACAGCGUUAGCCGAACACUGUAAACAGUACAACCAUACACCCAAGAUCGAUGACGUGAGAGUGUUACAAACGGAACAUCACUACAACAAGAGACUAACGAUAGAGAUGCUUCACAUCAAUAGUUUAUCAACAACAAAGAGAAUAAACAGCAAAGCAGACACGGACAACACAGCUUACUGCUACAGGCAUUUAACAAAAAGAGAUCGUGCAAUAUGCAAAUAAUUAUCAGUGCAAUAGUAACACUUGACGGUAGUAGUCACACUACGCUAGUUUUAAGUUUAUUAUUUUAAUUAUUUGCAAGUAAGCGUUUUUUUACAUGUUUAUGUCCUGUGCUGUGAUAAUGUUAAUAUGUUGUAUGUUUUGUUAUUUAAUUUGUAGAUCACCCUGAAGAUGAAACUCAAAGAGCUUCGAAAUAUUGGAAAAAGAAAAAUAAAUAAUUAAAAAACCAAAAAGUUUGACCUCAAGCUCAAAUAAUUGUUUUUAUUAACUAUCGAAAAAGGUCGAAAAACCAGAGAAAAUGUUUAUAACAAACGGAGAGCCCGCCGAAAUCAAAAACAAAAUGAUCUACAAACAACUAAAAACUGACAACAAAGUACGAUACAACAUAAACAAACACAAGAAUGUAAAAGUUAGGGUAACAAAAAUUAAAUCGUCCAUAACCUUUCUCAUUCGUUGCCGCAAUAUGGGAAUUAUCCCCAAGUUCAUCAAAAACUCCAUCAAAAAUGUACAUAGAAUUUUUAUCGCAAGUUACCACAAUCACCACAUUCAAUCUACAUUAAAAUCAUACAUAGAAAAUUUUGAAGGUAAAAUAUUAAACUUAGUUAUAAAACAAAAACACGAAGAAUUGAAAUACAAUAACAAAAUUUUAAGUGACAUAGAAAACAAGUUAAACGAUAAUCUUUCACACGAAGAAAGACAACAAUUUCAGUUUAACGAAAAUAUCAUAAUAACAGGAACGCAGAAAAAACAUGACGAAAUACACAAAAAUAAAUUCAACAAACUACAAGAAGAACUGACUAAGGAACUCAACAUAAAGCACAACGAUAAUUGGUUUGUCAACAAAACGAACAAAACUUUCCCAGAUGACAUAAAAUGGUUACUCUCCUUAGGAGACAAACACUGCUUACCAACAAGAAGAACACAUUUCCCUUUAUUCAAAUAUAUUGCGGACGCGGAAGAUCUCAUACAAACAAACAAUGACAAAGAACAACAAGAAAUGGGAAGAACAAAAUUAACAAAUAUGCUGGAAACACAUAUGAAUAGAAGCAGAGAGAGCAAUAGAGACAAAUACAUGAUAGGCACAGUGGAAAGAACCCGAAAAUUUCUUAACCAAAAUAAAGACAUAAUAAUACUAAAUGCAGACAAAGGAAACGUGACUGUAGCCAUGAACAAAAAUGAUUACAAAGAAAGAAUGUCCAAUCUGCUCUCAGACAUGAUGACGUAUCAACGUAUCAAUAAGGACCCUACGUCAAACCUUCAAAAGAAAAAUAAUGAUAUCGUUGAAGAACUUUUCAAAAAUAAUAUAAUUUCGACAAUAGAGAAGAAAAGACUCAAAACAGAAAUUGCGAUUGCCCCAAGAAUAUAUGGCUUGCCAAAGAUCCACAAAGACGGCUAUCCAUUAAGACCCAUAUGUUCGUCUAUAAAUUCCCCGUCAAUAAAACUGUGCAAAUACAUAGUAAACAUACUAAAUAAUUUGACGACAAAAUCAGUUUACAACGUAAGGGAUUCUGUGCAAUUUAGGGAUAAGAUAAAGAACCUGACAGUUAAUAAUAAUGAAAAAAUGGUUUCAUUCGACGUGGUCUCACUGUUCCCAAGUAUUCCAGUAGAAUUAGGACUAAAUAUAAUUGAAGAAAGAUGGGAAGAAAUAGAACAAUAUACAAACAUAACCAAAGACAUGUUUCUGAAUAUUGUAAAAUUUUGCAUAAAGGACAACAGAUACUUCAAGUUUGAUGACAAAAUAUACAAACAAAAAGCAGGGCUACCGAUGGGAUCUCCAGCAUCACCCAUAAUUGCAGAUUUGGUUAUGGAAUCACUGCUCAACGAAAGCUUGCAAAGAUUACAAUCAAAACCAAAGAUACUGACGAAAUACGUGGAUGAUUUGUUUUUAAUUAUAAGGGAAGAUGCAAUACAAGAAACGCUGACAGUACUAAAUAGUUUCAACAAAAACAUUAAAUUUACUUUGGAAGAAGAAUGCGACGGAAAAAUCCCAUAUUUGGACACAUUAGUAAUAAGAAAUGCAGAUAAUACGAUAAAUAUAAAUUGGUAUCAAAAACCUACAGCGUCAGGUAGAAUAAUAAAUUACUACUCUAAACACACAAAACGAACAAUUAUCAAUACAGCGAAAAACUUAAUAAAUAGAGUACUAACAAUAAGCGACGAACAAUUUCAUUUCCAAAACAAAUUAAAAAUAAAAGACAUUCUAAUUAAUAAUAACUUCCCAUUACAUAUAACCAAAUCCCUAAUUGAAAAUUAUUAUAAGAAUAAACAUUCAAGUCGAGAUUCGCAGAAAACAGACCCGCCGAAGAUAUACAAAUCCCUGAUAUAUUUACCGAAUAUAUCAGAAAGAUUGGAAAAGUCAGAAAUAUAUGACAAAAAUAAAUACACAAUAGCACAUAGCUCACAUAACACAACAAAAUCUUUAUUCACAAACAUGAAAAGUAAAAUACCAAAAAUGGACAAACAUAAUGUAGUUUACAAAAUUGAAUGUGGUGGUAACAAGGAAGAAAGUUGCGGAAAACACUACGUUGGCACAACAAAAAACAAACUAAAAACUAGGAUGUCAGCACACAAAUCAGACAUCAAAUUAAGAAACAAUAAUUCGAUACAAAAAACAGCGUUAGCCGAACACUGUAAACAGUACAACCAUACACCCAAGAUCGAUGACGUGAGAGUGUUACAAACGGAACAUCACUACAACAAGAGACUAACGAUAGAGAUGCUUCACAUCAAUAGUUUAUCAACAACAAAGAGAAUAAACAGCAAAGCAGACACGGACAACACAGCUUACUGCUACAGGCAUUUAACAAAAAGAGAUCGUGCAAUAUGCAAAUAAUUAUCAGUGCAAUAGUAACACUUGACGGUAGUAGUCACACUACGCUAGUUUUAAGUUUAUUAUUUUAAUUAUUUGCAAAUCACCCUGAAGAUGAAACUCAAAGAGCUUCGAAAUAUUGGAAAAAGAAAAAUAAAUAAUUAAAAAACCAAAAAGUUUGACCUCAAGCUCAAAUAAUUGUUUUUAUUAACUAUCGAAAAAGGUCGAAAAACCAG